UUCUGCCGCGGCUGGCGCCCCUCCCCAGAUCCCGCCACAGCCCCAAAACCCAACCGGCGCCGCCGCUGUCGUCCUGCACUGGAUCGACCCGCCGCUAUCGCCCCGCUGUCGCGUACAGGCAGUUCAACGCCUCAACCCCAAGCCGUUCAAUGCCUUGCCGACCGCCGGCUCCUCCAUGGACGCCUAGCUCCUGCACUAAAACCACCGUGGCCCAGGGAUUCACCCCGCCCCAACCCACUGGCCCGUCUACGAAUGCCCCGCGCUCCCUCCGGUGACCAGCCCCGCCUCGCGCACGCCCCUCCGACGUCCGGAGACCUGCCACGCGCCCCGCACUCCAGCCGCGGCCAACUCCCUCCUGUGCUGCUCGGUUGCUUGCACAGACGUGUAGCAGUUCAAAACAUGCAGGCCUCUGCCCCUCCGAAAUGCCCAGUUCCCCUUCGUUCAUGUCGCUUUCUCGCCCAUACACACGGCUGGAGAAUCACCGACCUCGUCGAGCUUGACCUUGCAAGCAGCCCCGCUCGCCGUACAUGAUUUUUGUGUGUUAUUUGCUCAUUCCCAUUGUGCGUGUGCACUGCUUGAAGGAACGCAUGGCAGAGGACAGGUUUUUUUGUGCUUGUUGUUUGCAGGUCUUCUGAGGAUUAAAUAAAAAGCUUGCUCAAAGGAAGCAUUUCCCAUCAGUGAAUUGGCUCAUUUCCUACUCGAAUACUCCCAGGCACUCGAGUCCUACGAGAAGUUUGAACGAAGGCGUGUGAGGUGUUGCACAGGGAGGAUGAUCUAAGUGAAAUUGUGCAGGGAGAAGGACACAAUCAGGCACUGUAAAAGAAUUCUGAAUUAUUGUCUGUUAAACACUGCACAAGAUUCUGCAUCCGGGAAAUGGCUAGUCAUUAUCAUGCACCUUAGCAAGGAAUAGUAGAUGGUAUGACAUGUAAAAAAGAUGCGUUGAAGUGGUUGGUGCUGCUCUCCUGGAAGAUGAUUGAUGGCUACCUCCUCCCGCUGGCGGGGCUCUAUCGCUGCAGCUCCCUGGCUGUUCACAGCCGCCACCCUGGGUCGUUCAGCAACACAACGCUAAGCCGUUCGACACCGCAGCUUGGGAGGUGCCCGCUUUUUCCCACCCCCCUGUGUGUUUUUGGGCAGUACAAAUACAUCGCUAUAGUUAGUACAGAUGUGGCGCCUUGCGGAGUACUAAAAAGACCAACUGUCUCACAAACCGUUUUCACUUCAUCUUUACAACCGCCAGGAUAUAUAUGAUUCGCGAAACAGAAUAGCCCAGAUAUAUAUAGGACUGGACUGUAUGUGAUUUUCACUUCAUCUUUACAGAGCACAAUCCUGGCGUGCCCAGCCACUGCUCGUGAACCCCGCCUCCAUCAGCUCCACUUCACCGGAGCCGUCAGUCCGCAGGAGUAGGGGUAGCAGAAAAAGCUAAAAAAAGUCACUUUUCUGGUUUCAAAUUUGAGAUGAUGAUUCAGUUCAGAAAAAUGGACGCCAAAAACAAUUAAGAAGUUCAGGUCAUCCGUACAACCGCACCGAGCUCGCACUCCGCGGCCGCUGGCGCCCCCAACCUAACGCCGUCCGUGACCCUCCACUACACUCCUCUGCUGGAGGAGCAUGUCAAUUCAUGUGGAGCAUAACAGUCUGUUAGUUUCGAUAGUUUGUCAAUUCGCCAGUGGGAUCCGCAGGUCAGACCGUCAUUCUCCGGCCGCCGCGCUGCCUGGAUCCAACGAGGCUGCUUCGCACCGGUCUCGGAUCCACCUGCCUCCACGCCAUCACCUGCCUGCGCCAGCCCCGGCCCCGGAUCCCCCUCCAACCCAAUUCGUGCCAUGGACAAGGAAAAAACUUUUGUCAGGUUUUUGGUGGCUAGGUAUUAUUGAUAUGGAGAUGAAUAACUAUGUGCUUCGGUUGUUCUUUUGGAAAAGACAAGUUGCCAUGCUUUACUUUUAUGAGCUUUCUAAUUUGCAUACGUCUAAGUUAUUGCUUGCUGCCACUAGUGAAUUGCGCAAGUUCAAUGGGUGUUGUCGAGCAUGUUCAGAAGUAUGCCCUUCGUGCAGAAGUGUGAUUUUUUCAGUAUUUUAUAUAUUUCAUUUGGCAGAGGCUUCAUGUCAUCUUGUGGAGCUUUAUAAAUGUAUUGUAAUUACACUUUUAAGACCCUAAGUGUUCAUUACUCCGUCCGUUCCUUGAUAUAAGGUGUAUAGAUUUUUGAGAAAAACUCCAAAAUAUAAGGUGUAUUGUGUUGCACAACUCAUUUGAAUAACUUUUUUAGGGAUUUGAUUA